CAUUUCAUAUCACCGAGUCAUCCAUCUUCCUCUCUCCUCUCUUUCUAAACAUUCAAACCUAACUUUACCCAAACCAGAGGAAAUGGUAUCGGACUCGGAGCUCGUCGGCCGGCUGCGUGAGUUCCUAAGCACUUCCGACCUCACCACCACCACCACCACCGCCGUCCGACGAAAGCUCGAAGAGGACUUCGGUAUCGAUUUAUCCGAUAAAAAAGCCUUCAUCCGAGAACAAGUUGAUCUUUACCUUGAAAGCCAGUUUCAACUUGACCAGCAGAAAAAUGAAGGAGAAAUGCAUGAAGAAGUUGAUGAAGGACCGUCGGCGGAGGUGAGUGACGAAGAAGAAGAUGCGGUGAAUGAGGAGGUGGAAGAAGAAGAAGAAGAAGAAGAGGAAGAGGAAUCUGAAGCUGUUACUAAAAUAAAACGAAGAAGUUCUAAGAAAAAGUCUGAGAAGAAAAAUGAAAAUGUCAAAAGGAAAGCUGGUGGAUUUACCAAAGUAUGUAGCCUUUCUCCACAACUUCAGAAAUUUACCGGGGAAGCAGAACUUGCAAGGACUGAGGUGGUGAAGAGGAUGUGGAACUAUAUUCGUGAAAAUGAUUUGCAAGAGCCAUCAAAUAGGCGGAAUAUAAACUGUGAUGACACAUUACGGGAGCUUUUUGGUGUGGAUAAAAUAGACAUGUUUCAAAUGAACAAGGCCCUGGCAAAACAUAUCUGGCCCUUGGAUUCUGAUGGUGUUUCCACAAUAACAACUUCUGGUUCGGUAAAUUCUACUGCGAAGGAAAAAAGUUCUACAGCAAAGAAAAAGCGGCGGAAGCAAGAGGAGGAUGAAGAUUCAGAUGAGCCAAAGAGAAAGGAAAAGCGGCACAACUCUGGAAUUCUUGCUCCACUCCAGCUUUCUGAUGCCUUAAUAAAGUUCCUCGGUACAGGAGAGAGUGAACUGCCACGAGGCAAUGUGGUUAAAAGAAUUUGGGAUUACAUUAAGCAAAAUAACUUGCAGGUGCAGGACUGAAGAUUUGGAACACGGAUAACCCAACAUCAGGUUGGGUCUGGAUUCAUCAACAAAAAAUCCAGUGUAAUCCCACAAGUGGAAUCUGGGGGAGGGUAGUGCGUACGUAGAUCUUAACCCCUACCACCCUAGAGAGGCUGUUUCCUAUAGGCCCUAGGCCCAAGGAAAGAUGAAAAAAGAAGCAGGGAUGGAUUUGGAUUGAUACUAAAUUAUGAAAUGGACAUUUGGUCAGCUCAACCCAAAAGCUAGCUUAUGAAGGGAGGAUUAUCCAAGAGCAUAUAACAAAAUUACAACCCAUGCUGUCAACCAAUGUUGGACUUUAACAAAAAAUUGGAAUCUUUUGAAGGACAUCAAAGAAUUGUCACUCAAUCAGGAUCCGUCUGACAAGAGGAAAAUAAUAUGUGAUGAGAAGUUGAAAGAACUAUUUGAUGUUGAUACCUUCACGGGAUUUGGAGUAUCG